UGAACCCCCCCAAUCUCGAUCAUACCGGCAUCUCUUUUUCCUUUUGUCUCUCCGCAGGAAGAAACGGAUGAAUCAGAAGACAAGGCCCCCCCAGGCAGGAGGCCUCAGCAGGGGGGAGGGGUGGGGUGAGCAGGGAGCUGGAGGCGCUGUGGGAUGGAGGGAGGGGUGGGCACAGUUUGGGUACGCUGGGUGAAGUGCAGGGGAGACGAGUCCUCGGGUGGGGGGCCUGGGAGAGGCAGGGACUCUGG
rnacentral:lncRNA from 1 species